GAUGCGGUUAUUAUAAAACUAAUGUUGAGUUCUUUCGACAUUAGUUUAGUACAAAGAUCAUUAAAUCCAUUUAAAAUAGUAUUAUAGAGGGGUGUUUAGUUGUUUAUAUAACUAAAAGGUCAUUAAGUAAUUAUGGAGGGUAGUUUUUGAAAAUUCAAUUAGUAUAAAUAAGAGCCUUGGGCUCUCAUAUUUCUUGCACCAUUCUCUUGAUUCAAGAGUCUUUCUCUCCUUAUCCCCCGAGCAUUUCGGUCCCUCGUGAUUCGACUUCUCUUUCUGUAGUUUUAGUAUAGUAAGGUGAGCGCUGAAGCGCUGCACGAAUCUUUCUUAGAAAGAUUCAGCGACGAAGUUCUGCCCCUGCAGAGCCCGACUCCUAGCUAAAAUCCCCUUGAAAGUUUCGUCAAAGGAAAUUAUUUUAAAGUAAACGAAGCGCUGUCCGAGUACCGAGUCACCACCUUCUCAGGUGUUGAUAUGAAGUCACAAUACACUGAGAGAUUUAAAGAGAUGUAGAUCACUAGUGUAAAUAAUUGUAAGUUCUGUUUAUGCUUAUGUUUCUGUAUUAACGAUGACAUCCCAAACGUUUUAAAAUGAAAUAAAUACGUUUCAUCGAAAAUGUUUUA